AUUCGCACACCAGCAAAUACAUUUUAUCACCUCGUUGCGAAGUACUUUUGUGCAGUGCGAUGCGACGUAGACCAGCGGCGCGCGGCAGAUAACUUUUUGGGAGUGGAAAAAGAGAGAAAUUAUGUUAAUUUUAUGUUUAUUCGAAACAUCUACAUAUUUGACUUCUGAAUAUUAAUAAGGUUAAUUUGCAUUUAAUAUGUGUACUGCAACUAGGUACAUACAUAUUUAUAUUAGGGUGGUAAAAAAAAAAGUAAAGUCGGAAUUUUAAUGCUACCACCCCUAUAAUUUAUGCCUAAAGCCGAAAUAUGGGAAACCAAAUGAUCUGGGUUCUCUCAAUUGUACAGUUCGUUCGGAGGAAUCAUUUAGGCGGUAGUCACUUAACCAGGCAUUCGUGCUCCCGUCCAGUACAACCAAUUUUUCUCGAAGCGUUCACCAUCAUCACCUUCAAAAACCUGAAACACAAAGUAUAGUUCGAUAAAAAAAAAAUAUUUAAAGUACGUGAAUAUUAAAGAAAGUAAUAAUGUAUAAGAAAUUGAGUCGGAAAUAUGUAUGUACAUGUGUAUGUAAUUUGAAGAAAAUUCGUGCCCACUCCUGCCAAAUUAGGUUUCAGCAUUUGUACAUCUUCAGCGUAAUUUUCCGUUGAAAAUAACCAAUCAACGUCAACAAGUAAUUCAGUUUCACAUUCUUUAAAAAUUUUAGAAUCAAGUACAUAUGUACAUAUACAUAACUACA